UAUUGGAUCCAGACUUUGAUCAUGGCUCAGGAUGAACGCUAGCUACAGGCUUAACACAUGCAAGUCGAGGGGAAACGACAUCGAAAGCUUGCUCUUGAUGGGCGUCGACCGGCGCACGGGUGAGUAACGCGUAUCCAACCUGCCCACCACUUGGGGAUAACCUUGCGAAAGUAAGACUAAUACCCAAUGAUAUCUCUAGAAGACAUCUGAAGGAGAUUAAAGAUUUAUCGGUGAUGGAUGGGGAUGCGUCUGAUUAGCUUGUUGGCGGGGUAACGGCCCACCAAGGCGACGAUCAGUAGGGGUUCUGAGAGGAAGGUCCCCCACAUUGGAACUGAGACACGGUCCAAACUCCUACGGGAGGCAGCAGUGAGGAAUAUUGGUCAAUGGACGAGAGUCUGAACCAGCCAAGUAGCGUGCAGGAUGACGGCCCUAUGGGUUGUAAACUGCUUUUAUAAGGGAAUAAAGUGAGUCUCGUGAGACUUUUUGCAUGUACCUUAUGAAUAAGGACCGGCUAAUUCCGUGCCAGCAGCCGCGGUAAUACGG
rnacentral:rRNA from 1 species